GUGGGCGUAGUUCAGCGGCAGAACGCCUGGCUGUGGCCCAGGAGGUCGUGGGUUCGAAACCCACCGCCCACC
rnacentral:tRNA from 1 species